AGAUAGUUUUGCUGGUCUUUUCUGCUGCCGGGCUGCUUGGCUGGUCUCAGAGUCUUCUUUGUAGCUUGGCUUGCCUGAGCAUGAAGGGUCAUCUUGAAAGCCAAGACUUUGUUUGUCCUGCCAGAACAGAGAGUCAGGCCAAGUUACCGUUCGGUGUGCUGCUCGAAUUCACAUCCUACAACACAGCCUCCGUGGACAUUCCUCCCCCCCUUUCCAGGCAAGCGUUCGGACCCUGAGCCGUACCACAGCUCAUCUGUCUUGCCCUUGACGGAAGGCCCUGCUUUCUGGGCCUCAGCUGAGUCUGUAUUUCCCUGCUUUCUGCCCUUACUAUGGGGAUUUCUAGGUAAAAUAAAUAGAUG